CAAUAGCGUAUAUUAAAGCUGUUGCGGUUAAAAAGCUCGUAGUUGGAUUUCUGUCAAGGACAACUGGUCCGCCCUCCGGGUGAGCACAUAGUUUGGUCUUGGCAUCUUGCUGAAACUGUUGCUGCGCUUGGUUGUGUGGUGCAGCUUUCAGCACUUUCACUUUGAGGAAAUUGGAGUGUUUCAAGCAGGCACAUGCCUUUGGACACAGUAGCAUGGAAUAAUUAGAUUGGGCUUUUGCUCCAACUUGUUGGUUCCUGGAGCUGAGGUGAGAAUCAAUGGGGAUUGUUGGGGGCAUCCGAAUUUAGCCGUCAGAGGUGAAAUUCUUGGAUCUGCUAAAGACGGACAACUGCGAAAGCGUUUGCCCAGGAUGUUUUCAUUGA
rnacentral:rRNA from 1 species